UUAUUGUCACAGUCAAAAAUUAAUCACUUUUCUAGAAUUGAUUUGUACAUGAGUCAGAAAUAGAUAGUAAUGUAGUAACUUUUAUUGUAGUUUUUUUAGUUUGGACAUAAAGAGUCAACACGGGGAAUUGGUUUUUAUUCGAUAAUAAUCUCCCGAGAUCACUUUAAAGAUAUUAUUGAGUGAUGUAGGUAUUUAUGGAGGUAAAGUUUAAAAAAAAAAAUGGCCACUUUUUCCAAUCAUUGCAUCGCGCCCAUUCACAGUAUCGUAUUUUGAAAUUACCGGUCGAUUCGAUUUGUCGCGAAACGUUCCGUCUUAGUUCGACGAUCGCGUCUUUGAAUUAGCCAUGGAAACUAUAGGACAAAUUAAACAAAUUGAUAAAUUUAUUGGUGCUGGAUGCAACACAUGAAUCUCUCCCGGUAAUAGUGUGCGACCCCGUCGAACGAGCUAUCGUUGACUACAUCCAGGCCGUAUCCAAGAAGUCCGAGAUGAAGCCCUUCGAGCAGUUCGUCUUCCUCAACACCUUCAUUGGCAGCAUCGUAACACGUCCUGGGGGCCCGUCAAACUCGAAUUGUUUUAACCAGUGCGAUGAUUAUUAUAGGAUAAUUUAAACGCAAUAAAUAAAUUGCACAAAA